rnacentral:rRNA from 1 species
AACGAACGCUGGCGGCAUGCCUAACACAUGCAAGUCGAACGAUGCCUUCGGGCAUAGUGGCGCACGGGUGCGUAACGCGUGGGAAUCUGCCCUUGGCUUCGGAAUAACAGUUAGAAAUGACUGCUAAUACCGGAUGAUGUCCCCCUGAGAGAUCUUGGGGACCAAAGAUUUAUCGGCCAGGGAUGAGCCCGCGUAGGAUUAGGUAGUUGGUGGGGUAAAGGCCUACCAAGCCGACGAUCCUUAGCUGGUCUGAGAGGAUGAUCAGCCACACUGGGACUGAGACACGGCCCAGACUCCUACGGGAGGCAGCAGUGGGGAAUAUUGGACAAUGGGGGGAACCCUGAUCCAGCAAUGCCGCGUGAGUGAUGAAGGCCUUAGGGUUGCAAAGCUCUUUUACCAGGGAUGAUAAUGACAGUACCUGGAGAAUAAGCUCCGGCUAACUCCGUG